rnacentral:rRNA from 1 species
UACGGAGGGUGCAAGCGUUAUCCGGAUUCACUGGGUUUAAAGGGUGCGCAGGCGGGCAGGUAAGUCAGUGGUGAAAUCCUUGAGCUUAACUCGAGAACUGCCAUUGAUACUAUCUGUCUUGAAUAUUGUGGAGGUAAGCGGAAUAUGUCAUGUAGCGGUGAAAUGCUUAGAUAUGACAUAGAACACCUAUUGCGAAGGCAGCUUACUACGCAUAUAUUGACGCUGAGGCACGAAAGCGUGGGGAUCAAACAGG